AACCAUAGAAACCUGCGGAGUACCUGCGGAGGGAUCAUUACGAGAGUGUCACCACUCCCAACCCAUUGUUUACCUACCCGUCCACCGUGCUUCGGCAGGCAGCCCUGUGGGACAGAGCCUCGCCCCCUUUCGCGGGGGGUGCCUGCCGCUUGCCAACCAAAACUCUAGCUGUUUUAGUACCAUCUGAGUCUUCCACAAAUGAACAAAACUUUCAGCAAUGGAUCUCAGAUCGGAAGAGCA
rnacentral:misc_RNA from 1 species